UGGGGAAUUUUGGACAAUGGGGGCAACCCUGAUCCAGCAAUGCCGCGUGUGUGAAGAAGGCCUUCGGGUUGUAAAGCACUUUUGUCCGGAAAGAAAACUUCGGGGCUAAUACCCCUGGAGGAUGACGGUACCGGAAGAAUAAGCACCGGCUAACUACGUGCCAGCAGCCGCGGUAAUACGUAGGGUGCGAGCGUUAAUCGGAAUUACUGGGCGUAAAGCGUGCGCAGGCGGUGCUGUAAGACCGAUGUGAAAUCCCCGGGCUUAACCUGGGAACUGCAUUGGUGACUGCAGUGCUGGAGUAUGGCAGAGGGGGGUGGAAUUCCACGUGUAGCAGUGAAAUGCGUAGAGAUGUGGAGGAACACCGAUGGCGAAGGCAGCCCCCUGGGCCAAUACUGACGCUCAUGCACGAAAGCGUGGGGAGCAAACAGG
rnacentral:rRNA from 1 species